CGGGAUUCUGCUUUCCUCUCUCGUGUCAGGAAGACAUAGAUCGACUGGAGAACACCAUUAGGGUCAAUUCAACAAUACGCAAACAAUAUAUACGAUAUCUUAGCAUCAAAAAGGACCCACAUGUAACGGUCUCAAAAAGCUUCAACCAUUUCUUCAGCCCUAUGUCGCUGUAUAACUUCUGCUUGCAGAAAACUGAACAAACCGCACAAACGAAGUACAUCAUAACAGAGUAUAAAAUAUUUACUGAUUGCAUGAUAGCGGCUUGGAAGUCCCAUGGAUUGAACAGGAAAAUAUUGACCCAAGAGUUGGCGAACGCAGUAGCUGCUGCACAUGAAACUAAUAACCAUAGUAACUGCAAACGUCGUAAGCGAUCGGAGAUGAUUCAAAUGAUGUUGUUAAAAAAGCGACGAGUUUAACGAAAUAAAGUAAUU